UACGUAGGUGGCAAGCGUUACUCGGAAUCACUAGGCGUAAAGCGCAGGUAGGAGGUUUGGUAAGUCUAUUGUGAAAGCUCCCGGCUUAACUGGGAGAGGUCAAUGGAAACUACCAGGCUGGAGUGCGGUAGAGGUAGCUGGAAUUCCCAGUGUAGCGGUGAAAUGCGUAGAUAUCUGGAGGAACACCGGUGGCGAAGGCGGCACCCUGGACCAGUACUGACGCUGAGGAGCGAAAGCCAGGGGAGCAAACGGG
rnacentral:rRNA from 1 species